GAACGCGUUGGCCCAAUUGAUUGAUGRUGCUUGCACCUGAUUGAUUUUGGUCGCCAACGAGUGGCGGACGGGUGAGUAACACGUAGGUAACCUGCCCAGAAGCGGGGGACAACAUUUGGAAACAGAUGCUAAUACCGCAUAACAACGUUGUUCGCAUGAACAACGCUUAAAAGAUGGCUUCUCGCUAUCACUUCUGGAUGGACCUGCGGUGCAUUAGCUUGUUGGUGGGGUAAYGGCCUACCAAGGCGAUGAUGCAUAGCCGAGUUGAGAGACUGAUCGGCCACAAUGGGACUGAGACACGGCCCAUACUCCUACGGGAGGCAGCAGUAGGGAAUCUUCCACAAUGGGCGCAAGCCUGAUGGAGCAACACCGCGUGAGUGAAGAAGGGUUUCGGCUCGUAAAGCUCUGUUGUUAAAGAAGAACACGUAUGAGAGUAACUGUUCAUACGUUGACGGUAUUUAACCAGAAAGUCACGGCUAACUACGUGCCAGCMGCCGCGGUAAU
rnacentral:rRNA from 2 species